rnacentral:rRNA from 1 species
AGUAGUACUGAAGCGGAAUACAAAGCAGUUGCCAAUGCCACGGCUGAACUUAUCUGGGUUCAGUCCUUGCUUCGAGAGUUGAGAGUCUCUCAGCAUCAUCCACCUGUUCUUUGGUGUGACAACAUCGACGUUGCGUACCUUUCUUCAAAUCCGGUAUUUCAUGCCCGAAUGAAACACAUCGAAGUUGACUAUCACUUUGUCAUAGAACGAGUUUCACAGAAGUUGCUUCAGAUCAAGUUCAUCCCAUCGAAGGAUCAACUUGCUGACAUCUUCACGAAGCCGUUGCCACUACCUCAGUUUGAGGGAUGUCGUCGCAAUCUUAAUCUUCUGAAUUCUUCAGAUCAUGGUUAA